GCUUCUCUAGCUCAGUUGGUAGAGCAAAGGACUGAAAAUCCUUGUGCGAGUGGUUCGAUUCCACUGGGAAGCACCA
rnacentral:tRNA from 1 species